CGCGUGCACUAGCAUGGGCUGAGUGCCAGGUACAUACAGAAAACUGCUCUUUAGAGCCUUGUCUGAGGUCCUCAGAUGAAUCAGAAUCGACAGGGGGACCUCAUGGCAAAGGUCGUGUAUGGGGCUAUACAGCAAGCACACUAGCCAGCAGGCUGAGUGGCGAAAACACGCAACUUCAGGCAGAAACUGCUUGGUGGUGCCAAGGCAGCCUCCCUGGAGCCUGUGACGCGUGUCCCAUAGACCCAGCGAUCAGAGGAAAGGACCUAGAGAAGUGUCUCCGAGCAUCUUCCUGCACUGGGGCAGGACCCCUUAUCCUCCAUGACGUUUUAUCAACCCUUUGCUCAUCACUAAUCAGGGUACUGCCUGGUAACGGGAUUGCACAGGAAGAACUGGAGAGCUGAACACACACCGUGUGGCUGUGUCCUGAGAACCAACAAAGAGCCCCAAGCAUGCUACAUAGAUGGGCAAAAUUUUCACCUUCCUGCUGAGGCCUUGGGAGAUUCAGCUGGUCAGUGGGAGGUUUGCUCCUGUCCUGAAUGGCUGCCCCUGUGAUUACAUCCCAUGAAGAAGCACUGGGCUCCUAAGCACUUCCAAGCUGUUAAUUCCUGAAUUUUAUUAUCAAGAGCCAGAUGAAACAUCUGAAAGCUGAUUGCACCAACACUUCACUCCUGCCUCCACCAGCAGCCAGCCCAUGGGGCUGCUCCGCAGUAUUUUAUGUAAAACUCAGAUUGCCAAAGUGAUGAACAACUUGGGAGGGCCGUGGAAAAACUCAUCUACUCCCCUUCUCUCUGUGAAGACAAAUGCUUCUUUCUUGCCUAGGAAGCCCAUCACCAUUUUUUUCUGCAAGUGCCUUCAUCCCCGCUCCCCUCCCCCAAUCUUUUUAGUCCUCUGCCCUGCACUAUGUACUGAAUAAAAGUUAGUGUUUUCCCAUUUGGAAAUGGCCCCUUCUCUGCCGCCCUUAUACUCGGGGAAAUCUCACAAAUGUUUCAGCACUACUUCCAGCAAGGACUGGCCCCUUCUGUUGCUAAUUAGGGAGCUAAGAGGUUCCCCCAGGCACUUCCCAGUGAAA